rnacentral:rRNA from 1 species
AUGUCUUGUAAUUGGAAUGAGUAGAAUUUAAAUCCCUUUACGAGUAUCAAUUGGAGGGCAAGUCUGGUGCCAGCAGCCGCGGUAAUUCCAGCUCCAAUAGCGUAUAUUUAAGUUGUUGCAGUUAAAAAGCUCGUAGUUGGAUUUCGGUUAAGAGCGACCGGUCCGCCGUUUGGUGUGCACUGGUUGGUUUUAACUUCCUGUAGAGGACGUGCUCUGGGUUUAACGACCUGGACUCGGAGUCUACGUGGUUACUUUGAAAAAAUUAGAGUGUUCAAAGCGGGCUUACGCUUGAAUAUUUCAGCAUGGAAUAACACUAUAGGACUCCUGUCCUAUUUCGUUGGUCUCGGGACGGGAGUAAUGAUUAAGAGGAACAGUUGGGGGCAUUCGUAUUUCAUUGUCAGAGGUGAAAUUCUUGGAUUUAUGAAAGACGAACUUCUGCGAAAGCAUUUGCCAAGGAUGUUUUCAUUAAUCAAGAACGAAAGUUAGGGGAUCGAAGAUGAUUAGAUACCAUCGUAGUCUUAACCAUAAACUAUGCCGACUCAGGAUCGGA